rnacentral:rRNA from 1 species
UACAGAGGGUGCAAGCGUUAAUCGGAAUUACUGGGCGUAAAGCGUGCGUAGACGGUUAUGUAAGUCAGGUGUGAAAGCCCCGGGCUCAACCUGGGAAUGGCAUUUGAGACUGCAUAGCUAGGGUGCGGAAGAGGGAAGCGGAAUUUCCGGUGUAGCGGUGAAAUGCGUAGAUAUCGGAAGGAACAUCAGUGGCGAAAGCGGCUUCCUGGUCCAGCACUGACGUUCAGGCACGAAAGCGUGGGGAGCAAACAGG